GACGAACGCUGGCGGCGUGCUUAACACAUGCAAGUCGAACGAAGUGGCGAACGGGUGAGUAACGCGUAAUCAACCUGCCCUUCAGAGGGGGUCACCAGUUGGAAACGACUGCUAAUACAGCUUACUGAAGGAGGGGAUUGCGUCUGAUUAGCUAGUUGGAGGGGUAACGGCCCACCAAGGCGAUGAUCAGUAGUCUGUUUGAGGGGAUGAACGGGCGCAAUGGGACUGAGACACGGCCCAGACCCCUACGGGAGGCAGCAGGGGGGAAUCUUCCGACAAGGACGAAAGUCUGACGGAGGAACGCCGCGGGAGUGAUGACGGCCUUCGGGUUGUAAAGCUCUGUUAAUCGGGGCGCGGUACCGGAAGAGAAAGCAACGGCUAACUACGUGCCAGCAGCCGCGGUAAUUC
rnacentral:rRNA from 1 species